rnacentral:tRNA from 1 species
GUCCGAGUAGCCCAAUUCGGCAGAGGCAACGGCCUUAAAACCCGUUACGUGAGAGUUCGAAUCUCUCCUCGGAUACCA